rnacentral:rRNA from 1 species
ACCACACUGCUAUCGGGAUAGGACUAAGACAUGCUAGUCGAGCGCUUCCUAGCCAAUUUGGGAGCGCGGCACACAGCUCAGUAACACGUGGCUAACCUGCCCUUGGGACAAGAACAACCCCGGGAAACUGGGGCUAAUUCGUGAUAGGCGAAGAACUCUGGAAUGAGUCUUCACCCAAAAGACGCCUACACUAUGCUUGUAGACGCCGCCCAAGGAUGGGGCCGCGACCGAUCAGGUUGUUGGUGAGGUAAUGGCUCACCAAGCCUUUUACCGGUGCGGGCCGUGAGAGCGGGAGCCCGGAGAUGGGCACUGAGACAAGGGCCCAGGCCCUACGGGGCGCAGCAGUUGCGAAAACUUUGCAAUAAGCGAAAGCUUGACAGGGCUAUCCCGAGUGCCAUCCGCUGAGGAAGGCUUUUACCCAGUCUAGAACGCUGGGGGAAUAAGGAGAGGGCAAGUCUGGUGUCAGCCGCCGCGGUAAUACCAGCUCUCCGAGUGGUGUGGAUGUUUAUUGGGCCUAAAGCAUCCGUAGCUGGCUAGGUUAGUCCCUUGUUAAAUCCACCGAAUUAAUCGUUGGAUUGCGGGGGAUACUGCCUGGCUAGGGGACGAGAGAGGCAGACGGUAUUUCCGGGGUAGGGGUGAAAUCCUAUAAUCCCGGGAAGACCACCAGUGGCGAAAGCUGUCUGCUAGAACGCGCCCGACGGUGAGGGAUGAAAGCUGGGGGAGCGAACCGGAUUAGAUACCCGGGUAGUCCCAGCUGUAAACGAUGCAGACUAGUGU